UACGUAAGGUGCAAGCGUUGUCCGGAAUUAUUGGGCGUAAAGAGCUCGUAGGCGGUUUGUCGCGUCUGCUGUGAAAACUCGGGGCUUAACCCCGGGCCUGCAGUGGGUACGGGCAGACUAGAGUGCGGUAGGGGAGACUGGAAUUCCUGGUGUAGCGGUGAAAUGCGCAGAUAUCAGGAGGAACACCGGUGGCGAAGGCGGGUCUCUGGGCCGUAACUGACGCUGAGGAGCGAAAGCGUGGGGAGCGAACAGG
rnacentral:rRNA from 1 species